rnacentral:rRNA from 1 species
ACCUGAGACAAGGUUCCAGGCCCUACGGGGUGCAGCAGGCGCGAAACCUCCGCAAUGUGAGAAAUCGCGACGGGGGGAUCCCAAGUGCCAUUCUUAACGGGAUGGCUUUUCAUUAGUGUAAAGAGCUUUUGGAAUAAGAGCUGGGCAAGACCGGUGCCAGCCGCCGCGGUAACACCGGCAGCUCUAGUGGUAACAAUUUUUAUUGGGCCUAAAGCGUCCGUAGCCGGUUUAAUAAGUCUCUGGUGAAAUCCUGUAGCUUAACUGUGGGAAUUGCUGGAGAUACUAUUAGACUUGAGACCGGGAGAGGUUAGAGGUACUCCCAGGGUAGAGGUGAAAUUCUGUAAUCCUGGGAGGACCGCCUGUUGCGAAGGCGUCUAACUGGAACGGUUCUGACGGUGAGGGACGAAAGUUAGGGGCGCGAACCGGAUUAGAUACCCGGGUAGUCCUAACUGUAAACGAUGCGGACUUGGUGUUGGGGGUGGCUUUGAGCUGCUCCAGUGCCGAAGGGAAGCUGUUAAGUCCGCCGCCUGGGAAGUACGGUCGCAAGACUGAAACUUAA